UCUAGUGAGGUUCCAUUGAGGUUCCUGUCCACGGCUCUGUCAUUACAUUAAAAAUGAAAAUUACAAGUUAAAGCAUAAAUGAAAUUACAAAAAUCCUAUCUAUACAGCUUCUUUUGGACUCUUGACUUGAGUUUCAUCACCCUAUUCUUCAGGCGGGCUCCUGACUUGCUAUUUCUUUAACUUGUUGCUUGCCUUUCAAUUUCUUCACCUUGUUCUCCAGGCUGGUUCCUGACUUGCUAUUUCAUCAACUUGUUGCCAUGCUUU
rnacentral:lncRNA from 1 species